rnacentral:rRNA from 1 species
UACGUAGGGGGCAAGCGUUGUCCGGAAUUAUUGGGCGUAAAGAGCGUGUAGGCGGCCCGGUAAGUCCGCCGUGAAAGUCCAGGGCUCAACCCUGGAAUGCCGGUGGAAACUGCCGGGCUGGAGUCCGGAAGAGGCGAGUGGAAUUCCUGGUGUAGCGGUGAAAUGCGCAGAUAUCAGGAGGAACACCAAUGGCGAAGGCAGCUCGCUGGGACGGUACUGACGCUGAGACGCGAAAGCGUGGGGAGCAAACAGG